UAAGGAAUUGUUCGCAAUGGGCGCAAGCCUGACGACGCAACGCCGCGUGGAGGACGAAGAUCUUCGGGUUGUAAACUCCUGUCGAGCGGGACGAAUAGCGUGAUGGUUAAUAGCUUUCACGCCUGACGGUACCGCUAAAGGAAGCCCCGGCUAACUCCGUGCCAGCAGCCGCGGUAAUACGGGGGGGGCAAGCGUUGUUCGGAAUUACUGGGCGUAAAGGGCUCGCAGGCGGCCAGCUAAGUCGGAUGUGAAAUCCCCAGGCUUAACCUGGGAACUGCAUACGAUACUGGUUGGCUUGAAGCCGGGAGAGGGAUGCGGAAUUCCAGGUGUAGCGGUGAAAUGCGUAGAUAUCUGGAGGAACACCGGUGGCGAAGGCGGCAUCCUGGACCGGUCUUGACGCUGAGGAGCGAAAGCUAAGGGAGCGAACGGG
rnacentral:rRNA from 1 species